GCUAAGAAUAUUCCGCAAUGGACGAAAGUCUGACGGAGCGACGCCGCGUGGAUGAAGAAGGCCGAAAGGUUGUAAAGUUCUUUUGUUGGGGAAGAAUAACCAUGGGAGGGAAUGCCCGUGGGAUGACAUGAACCGACGAAUAAGCCCCGGCUAACUACGUGCCAGCAGCCGCGGUAACACGUAGGGGGCGAGCGUUGUUCGGAAUUACUGGGCGUAAAGGGCAUGUAGGCGGUCUUGUAAGCUUGGCGUGAAAGACCACGGCUCAACCGUGGGAUUGCGUUGAGAACUGCGAGGCUUGAGUGACGGAGAGGGAGCUAGAAUUCCUGGUGUAGGGGUGGAAUCUGUAGAGAUCAGGAAGAAUACCAAUGGCGAAGGCAAGCUCCUGGCCGAUGACUGACGCUGAGGUGCGAAAGUGUGGGGAUCAAACAGGAUUAGAAACCCGUGUAGUCC
rnacentral:rRNA from 1 species